GACGAACGCUGGCGGCGUGCUUAACACAUGCAAGUCGAACGGAAAGGCCCUGCUUUUGUGUGGUGCUCGAGUGGCGAACGGGUGAGUAACACGUGAGUAACCUGCCCUUUACUUUGGGAUAACUUCAGGCAACUGGUGCUAAUACCGGAUAGGAGCUCCUGCUGCAUGGUGGUGGUUGGAAAGUUUCGGCGGUUGGGGAUGGACUCGCGGCUUAUCAGCUUGUUGGUGGGGUAGUGGCUUACCAAGGCUUCGACGGGUAGCCGGCCUGAGAGGGUGACCGGCCACAUUGGGACUGAGAUACGGACCAGACUCCUACGGGAGGCAGCAGUGGGGAAUAUUGCACAAUGGGCGGAAGCCUGAUGCAGCAACGCCGCGUGCGGGAUGACGGCCUUCGGGUUGUAAACCGCUUUCGCCUGUGACGAAGCGUGAGUGACGGUAAUGGGUAAAGAAGCACCGGCUAACUACGUG
rnacentral:rRNA from 1 species